rnacentral:lncRNA from 1 species
CAUCUCGUAAUCUCUAGACCAUCUCUAGCUAUACUCUAUUCGCCACAUCGCUUCGCUUAUUCGAUUUAUCCCUUACUCGCUUUGCAAUACCAUUUCGACUUCCUGACGUCUUCGAGUGUACACGUCUCGUCCAAAUCCUUUACGAGAAUAAGAUAAUACUAUAGUCACUAAACAAUAUAUCGCAUAUACAUAUCACGUAUACCGAUACCCACUUAUAUAUCCCUUUAAACUUAUCAGAUACCACGUAACAUAUAAGCAUGCUUUGACUCUAACAUAUAGUCAAUCAUAUUCCACAUAACAUAUCACCAAUCAAUUAUCAUAUAAAUCCUUUCGAAAAUCCGACAUCGUCUCAUCUAUUUAUAGGACUAUCCACCUGUCAACCUAUUCCCAACCAACAACCAAUCAACCAACUCCAGUCACCAUAAUCCAUAUAUCCUUAUCCAAUAUCAGUCCUACUAAUCAUUUAUCACUUCACAAUAUCAAAAUUAACACGUACUUCACAUAAUCAUCACUUGAUAGCACUUAGAUCACAUAUUAUAACAUUAUGCAUACUUAUCACCAAUUAUUCACCUUAUAGACUCAGCCAUAUAGUCACAUCAUAUUAAAAUAGACGUUAUAAGCUUCUGUCUCUUUUUCGUUUCACUUGAUUCCGACUUACGGAUCAAAAGUUAUGCUCAAAACAGUUUUCUCACUCUCCUAUCGGCACAUAACACAUCCAACCAAUAGCAGACAACACACAACACAUAAGGUUUCCCAUUCCAAUCGAUAUUAAAUCAAGCCUUGGGUUAAAAAUGAUUUUUCGGGAAUUUUCCAGAAUUUUUUAAACAUUUUUCGGAAUUAAAAUCGAUAAAAGAAUCACUUUUCGAAUAAAUAAUCAAGUCCCAAAUACUUGAAAUUGGACUUGAAAUCAUUCAUAAACAAUUAUCGAGCCUUGAAAAUAAUUUGGAAAAAUAUUUUAAAGCUCGAAACUAUUUUUCGGAAUUUUUAAAUCAAAAAGGAUUAAUUAAAUCCAAUUAAUUAAUCAAUUAAAAUCAAUUAAUAAUUAAUUAAAAUAAUUAAUCAAUUAAUAUUUAAAUUAAUUGACCAAUUAAAAUAAUUAAUUACUAAUUAAAAUUAAUUAACAAACUAAUUUAGAUUUAUUUUUGAAUAAAGAAAUAAUUAAAAACUAUUUUUGGAAUUUAAAAUAAUUAAAUAAAACAAUUUUAGAAAAUUAAAUCAAAAGGUUUAUUUUGUAAACUUUUGAAAGUUUUGUCCAGGGUUUAAAGUGUAACUUUCAGAAGUUUCAGGGGCUGAAAUGCAAACUUUGAAACCACAGUACCUCAGCUUCAUCAUUCUCAAAAGCUGAGGUACCUAACUGUAAUUUUACGACGGCCACCGACAAACUCGCCGGAUUUAUGCCGGAAUCCAUUUUCAGUGCCCAGAACUCCACCCAAAGCUCCAGAUACAUCCUAACCACUGCCAGGAACUUGUACAUGCACUCAGAAUCGCCAGAAACCGUGGAAGUUCGCCGGAAAAGUCAAAGAAAAUCCCGCCGCCGGCGGUUUUCUUCCAGAACUCGGCGAGCUUCUCAGGCCUUCUCCACUGUUAACAUACAUAUGAAUCGAUUCCUCUUCUCCUCCUCUAUCCAUCCAUAUAUACCACCAUCUCCCAGAUUUAACAGAAUGAAAAUCCGGCCGAAAUUUAAAGAUUUCCGGCAAAACUCAAGAACACUCAAGAACACUUGAAUUCUCAAAAUCAAACCACUGUUUCUAUAUGAUUCCGAACUCCAAAUUCGACAUAUAAUAUACCAAAACGACGAGAAAAACACGCUCUACAACAUGGUAUCAUCAAAAUAAUCAAACAAUCACGUUUGCAAAAAUUCAUAUUUCAAAUCAAUAUAACUCGAAUUUUCAACAAUUAAUAGUAAUUUACCUGUUGAAUCUGCACACAAACGAAUGAUUAAACUAUAAUCUACACGUCGAUAGCUUCGUUUUGACUAUUCAUACGCCUCCAUCGGAUUCCAAUAACACCUUCAAAUCUUCGUUUGAUUAUGAAGAACACGAAGAACAUACUUCGGUUUCUCUCGGUAUUCGUGCAGAGAAACU